rnacentral:lncRNA from 1 species
AUUCAGGGAGCACCAAGAAGCAGACCAGAGGUCUCCUAAGCUUGACUCCUCUUCGGCAUGAGACUAAGGAAGCUCCCCAAGUUCCAGUCAGAGGUCUGAAUUUGUGAAUUUGCUGAGGCUGAUAGGACAGUGUGGGCUGUCCCUGAAAGUUGGAGGAGGUGACAACAAGGUUGGGGGCCUUCCAUAUGGGUGCCUGCUGUACCACAUAUCCAGUAAAAACAGAACAUUUACGAAUGCAGGCUUAUGGAAGAGUCUUGCCCUAACAGAAAAACAGGGAUGAGGCUGGGAAGAGGAUAAAGUUAUAGCAGGAUAAAGUUAUAAGAAGAUAACAAAGCAGGAUGACAUCACAUGGGACCAAGAAGGGGGCUGCAUCAUCCCUGGACCUGCUCCUGGGGGCUGUCGGAUUGUGGGCGUGGCCGCUUUGGAUGCCCAGGUGAGCCCUGACACAGAGGUGCUUCCUCACAUUACAGUGAGGAGAGGAUGGGGCCAGUACAAAGACUGAAGAACCAGCACUCCUCCUGGGUCCGUCUUUGCUAAGUUGAGUCAUCCCAGCCCAGGCUCAGAUG